UACGUAGGGUGCGAGCGUUAAUCGGAAUUACUGGGCGUAAAGCGUGCGCAGGCGGCUUCGCAAGUCAGACGUGAAAUCCCCGGGCUUAACCUGGGAAUGGCGUUUGAAACUACGGAGCUGGAGUGUGGCAGAGGGAGGUAGAAUUCCACGUGUAGCGGUGAAAUGCGUAGGUAUGUGGAGGAAUACCGGUGGCGAAGGCGGCUCCCUGGACCGGUACUGACGCUGAGGCGCGAAAGCGUGGGUAGCAAACAGG
rnacentral:rRNA from 1 species